UACAGAGGUCUCAAGCGUUGUUCGGAUUCAUUGGGCGUAAAGGGUGCGUAGGCGGCGCGGUAAGUCGGGUGUGAAAUCUCGGAGCUUAACUCCGAAACUGCAUUCGAUACUGCCGUGCUUGAGGACUGGAGAGGAGACUGGAAUUUACGGUGUAGCGGUGAAAUGCGUAGAUAUCGUAAGGAAGACCAGUGGCGAAGGCGGCACUCUGGGACGGUACUGACGCUGAGACGCGAAAGCGUGGGGAGCGAACAGG
rnacentral:rRNA from 1 species